rnacentral:rRNA from 1 species
UGGGGAAUAUUGCACAAUGGGCGCAAGCCUGAUGCAGCCAUGCCGCGUGUGUGAAGAAGGCCUUCGGGUUGUAAAGCACUUUCAGCGGGGAGGAAGGUGUCAAGGUUAAUAACCUUGGCAAUUGACGUUACCGACAGAAGAAGCACCGGCUAACUCCGUGCCAGCAGCCGCGGUAAUACGGAGGGUGCAAGCGUUAAUCGGAAUUACUGGGCGUAAAGCGCACGCAGGCGGUUGAUUGAGUCAGAUGUGAAAUCCCCGGGCUUAACCCGGGAAUUGCAUCUGAUACUGGUCAGCUAGAGUCUUGUAGAGGGGGGUAGAAUUCCAUGUGUAGCGGUGAAAUGCGUAGAGAUGUGGAGGAAUACCGGUGGCGAAGGCGGCCCCCUGGACAAAGACUGACGCUCAGGUGCGAAAGCGUGGGGAGCAAACAGG